rnacentral:ncRNA from 1 species
AACUUAUCAAGAGUGGUGGAGGGACUGGCCCUAAGAAACCCAGCAACCGAUGUAUUCUGCGUGAAUAUAUAAGGUGCUAAAUCCUGCAGUGUAAGAACUGAUAGAUAAGGU